rnacentral:rRNA from 1 species
UACAGAGGGGGCAAGCGUUGUUCGGAAUUACUGGGCGUAAAGGGCGCGUAGGCGGCCUUCUAAGUCGAACGUGAAAUCCCUGGGCUCAACCCAGGAACUGCGUCCGAUACUGGAAGGCUUGAAUCCGGGAGAGGGAUGCGGAAUUCCAGGUGUAGCGGUGAAAUGCGUAGAUAUCAGGAAGAACACCAAUGGCGAAAGCAGCUCUCUGGGACGGUACUGACGCUGAGACGCGAAAGCGUGGGGAGCGAACAGG